rnacentral:rRNA from 1 species
CCUACGGGAGGCAGCAGUGAGGAAUAUUGGUCAAUGGGCGAGAUCCUGAACCAGCCAAGCAGCGUGAGGGAAGACGGCCCUAUGGGUUGUAAACCUCUUUUGUCGGAGAACAAAACCCGGGACGUGUCCCGGCCUGCGUGUAUCCGAAGAAAAAGCAUCGGCUAACUCCGUGCCAGCAGCCGCGGUAAUACGGAGGAUGCGAGCGUUAUCCGGAUUUAUUGGGGUUAAAGGGGGCGUAGGUGGUCCGUUAAGUCAGCGGGAAAAUUUGGGGGCUCAACCCCGUAGAGCCGUUGAAACUGGCAGCCUUGAGUUGGCGUGAGGUACGCGGAAUGCGCGGUGUAGCGGUGAAAUGCAUAGAUAUCGCGAAGAACUCCGAUUGCGAAGGCAGCGUACCG